GGAAGGUAUAGCUCAGUGGUAGAGUGCAUGCCUAGCAUGCAUGAGGUCCUGGGUUCAAACCCCAGUAUCUCCA
rnacentral:tRNA from 1 species